rnacentral:rRNA from 1 species
UACGGAGGGUGCAAGCGUUAUCCGGAUUCACUGGGUUUAAAGGGUGCGUAGGUGGGUUGGUAAGUCAGUGGUGAAAUCUCCGAGCUUAACUUGGAAACUGCCAUUGAUACUACCAGUCUUGAAUAUUGUGGAGGUUAGCGGAAUAUGUCAUGUAGCGGUGAAAUGCUUAGAUAUGACAUAGAACACCAAUUGCGAAGGCAGCUGGCUACACAUAUAUUGACACUGAGGCACGAAAGCGUGGGGAUCAAACAGG